rnacentral:rRNA from 1 species
UACGUAGGGGGCUAGCGUUGUCCGGAAUCAUUGGGCGUAAAGAGCGUGUAGGCGGCCAUGUAAGUGGGGUGUGAAAUCCCUCGGCUCAACCGAGGAACAGCGCUCCAAACUGUAUGGCUUGAGGGAGACAGGGGUAAGCGGAACUGAUGGUGGAGCGGUGAAAUGCGUUGAUAUCAUCAGGAACACCGGUGGCGAAAGCGGCUUACUGGGUCUCUUCUGACGCUGAGAAACGAAAGCUAGGGUAGCGAACGGG